rnacentral:rRNA from 1 species
CCUACGGGUGGCAGCAGUGAGGAAUAUUGGUCAAUGGACGAGAGUCUGAACCAGCCAAGUAGCGUGAAGGAUGACUGCCCUAUGGGUUGUAAACUUCUUUUAUAAAGGAAUAAAACGAGGCACGUGUGCCUUUUUGCAUGUACUUUAUGAAUAAGGAUCGGCUAACUCCGUGCCAGCAGCCGCGGUAAUACGGAGGAUCCGAGCGUUAUCCGGAUUUAUUGGGUUUAAAGGGAGAGUAGAUGGGUUGUUAAGUCAGUUGUGAAAGUUUGCGGCUCAACCGUAAAAUUGCAAUUGAUACUGGCAGUCGUGAGGACAGUUGAGGUAGGCGGAAUUCGUGGUGUAGCGGUGAAAUGCUUAGAUAUCACGAAGAACCCCGAUUGCGAAGGCAGCUUACUAAACUGUGACUGACAUUGAUGCUCGAAAGUGUGGGUAUCAAACAGGAUUAGAUACCCCUGUAGUC